GCUCUCAAAUUGGUACCCCACUAAAUCCAAAUCAAAAUGGAUCUAGUUAAGGUUCAAGGCUAUAGACUUGAUCUAAUCUUUAUCUAAUAAGGAAUCUAAGUCUAGAGAAGAAUUGGGUUUAAUCAUGUGCUAGCAUAGUUCUCUUAAACCCAAUAAAAUUUUACUAAAUCCUAAUCUAAUUAGAACUUCAUAAGUCUAAUUGAUUAAUUCAAGAUUAAAUCCCUCAAUUUGUGACCCCAU
rnacentral:lncRNA from 1 species